rnacentral:rRNA from 1 species
UACGGAGGGUGCAAGCGUUAUCCGGAUUCACUGGGUUUAAAGGGUGCGUAGGAGGGCAGGUAAGUCAGUGGUGAAAUCUCCGAGCUUAACUUGGAACUGCCGUUGAUACUAUCUGUCUUGAAUACCGUGGAGAUGAGCGGAAUAUGUCAUGUAGCGGUGAAAUGCUUAGAUAUGACAUAGAACACCAAUUGCGUAGGCAGCUUACUACACGAUCAUUGACGCUGAGGCACGAAAGCGUGGGGAGCAAACAGG